CCGGCGGGCGGAGGAGGGGCCGGCGCGGCGGGGACCGCGGGCCGGGCAGGUCAGCGCGCUCGGCGCGGUGGAGAGGCGUGAGGGGCUGCGCGGCCGGCUCGCAGCGCGGGAUCCCCACGGAGAAGAAUGGGUCCAGAAUGGUGCGAGUGCUUUGGGCAUCCACUCUUGCCUGGAGAGAGAAACACACAUUUCCAGGAGGAGCAUCGACCCAGGCAAGGGCCCACCUGGGAUGGGGCUGGCCUCAAGAUAAAUAACAUGGAUGAUGCUGAAAGUGCGGCAGAAGCUGCCUGCUAAUGUGCUUGGGAAGGCAGCAGAAGAUGGCCCAGCUUCCGUGCCUGUGGGAGACUUGGAUGAAGCUCCUGGCUCCUGGCUUCAGCCUGGCCCAGCCCUGGUUGCUAUGGUCACUUUGGGAGUGAACCAAUGGAUGGAAGAUCUCUAUCUCUCCCUCUCCCUCUCUCUCUCUGUAACUCUGCCUUUCAAAUAAAUAAAAUAAAUAAAUAAAUAAAUGUC